AUUGAACGCUGGCGGCAGGCCUAACACAUGCAAGUCGAGCGGAUGAAGGGAGCUUGCUCCUGGAUUCAGCGGCGGACGGGUGAGUAAUGCCUAGGAAUCUGCCUGGUAGUGGGGGAUAACGUCCGGAAACGGGCGCUAAUACCGCAUACGUCCUGAGGGAGAAAGUGGGGGAUCUUCGGACCUCACGCUAUCAGAUGAGCCUAGGUCGGAUUAGCUAGUUGGUGGGGUAAGGGCCUACCAAGGCGACGAUCCGUAGCUGGUCUGAGAGGAUGAUCAGUCACACUGGAAGGUGGACACGGACCAUACGCCUGCGGGAGGCAGCAGUGGCGAACAGGGGACAGUAGGCGAAAGCCUUGUCCAGCGGGCGCGCGCGUGAUGAAGAAAUCUCGGGAGCAUGAAGACGGCCUUGGGGGUAUAAAGCGCAGUAGCUUGUGACGAAGCGGUAGUGACGGUACCGGCAGAAGAAGCACCGGCUAACUACGUG
rnacentral:rRNA from 1 species